AUCCGUAACUUCGGGAAAAGGA
rnacentral:snRNA from 1 species